rnacentral:rRNA from 1 species
GGCUUAUAAUUGAAGUCUGGCAUGAAAGAAACUACGGGUAAUUACUGUCUCCCUUGGCCACCUUGAAUUUCCUUAAAGGGUGAAAAUGCCCUUUGAUAAAUAAUAGACGAGAAGACCCUAGAAAUUUUUUAUACCGUAAGAUAAUCUUAUUUCUAUUUUGUUGGGGCGACAGAAUAACAUGUAACUUGUUUUAUUUAAUAUGAACUAUAUAUAUUGAGCAAAAAUAAAUUACUCUAGGGAUAACAGCAUAAUUUGAUAAAGUUUGUGACCUCGAUGUUGGACUAGGGAUUUUAUUAACCAGCAGUUUAUGAAACAAGCUCUGU